UGAAGUCGGAAUCGCUAGUAAUCGUGGAUCAGAAUGCCACGGUGAAUACGUUCCCGGGCCUUGUACACACCGCCCGUCACACCAUGGGAGUGGGCUGCAAAAGAAGUAGGUAGUUUAACCUUCGGGGGGACGCUUACCACUUUGUGGUUCAUGACUGGGGUGAAGUCGUAACAAGGUAGCGCUAGGGGAACCUGGCGCUGG
rnacentral:rRNA from 1 species